UACGGGGGGGGCAAGCGUUGUUCGGAAUUACUGGGCGUAAAGGGCGCGUAGGCGGCCUUCUAAGUCGGACGUGAAAUCCCUCGGCUCAACCGAGGAACUGCGUCCGAUACUGGAGGGCUUGAAUCCGGGAGAGGGAUGUGGAAUUCCAGGUGUAGCGGUGAAAUGCGUAGAUAUCAGGAGGAACACCGAUGGCGAAGGCAGCUCGCUGGGACGGUACUGACACUGAGGAGCGAAAGCGUGGGGAGCGAACAGG
rnacentral:rRNA from 1 species